UACAGAGGGGGGCAAGCGUUUGUUCGGAAUUACUGGGCGUAAAGGGCGCGUAGGCGGCCUGUUAAGUCGAACGUGAAAUCCCCGGGCUCAACCCGGGAACUGCGUCCGAUACUGGCAGGCUUGAAUCCGGGAGAGGGAUGCGGAAUUCCAGGUGUAGCGGUGAAAUGCGUAGAUAUCUGGAGGAACACCGGUGGCGAAGGCGGCAUCCUGGACCGGUAUUGACGCUGAGGCGCGAAAGCCAGGGGAGCAAACGGGG
rnacentral:rRNA from 1 species